GAGUGUGUGAGGGAUUUUCCUCAGCACCACAACAGAAGAUGAGAAGGUAAAAUUUCCUCUUCCAUGCCAUCUUGAGAUUCUCAUAAUUAUAAGCCCCAUCAGCUGAUGCUAUUUGCUCUAAAAAUGUUAGGUGCAAAGACCCUUUUUUUAAACAUUCACAUAUAGUUUGAUCUUCCUUGUGCAGACAAGGAUUCAGUAUGAUAUAAGAUUCAGUAUGGCAGCUUCCAAUGUUCC